GAGAGCUAGCAAUCCCAUAAACCGUGGCUCAGUUCAGAUCGUAGGCUGCAACUCGCCUACGUGAAGUAGGAAUCGCUAGUAAUCGCAGGUCAGCAUACUGCGGUGAAUACGUUCCCGGGCCUUGUACACACCGCCCGUCACACCAUGGAAGUUGGCCAUGCCCGAAGUCGUUACUCCAACCCUUGUGGAGGAGGACGCCGAAGGUGGGGCUAAUGACUGGGGUGAAGUCGUAACAAGGUAGCCGUACCGGAAGGUGCGGCUGGAUCACCUCCUAA
rnacentral:rRNA from 1 species